rnacentral:rRNA from 1 species
CCUACGGGUGGCUGCAGUGGGGAAUAUUGCACAAUGGGGGAAACCCUGAUGCAGCGACGCCGCGUGAACGAGACGCCCUUCGGGGUGUAAAGUUCUGUCAGUGGGGACGAAAAAUGACGGUACCCACAGAGGAAGCACCGGCUAACUCCGUGCCAGCAGCCGCGGUAAUACGGAGGGUGUAAGCGUUGUCCGGAAUCAUUGGGCGUAAAGAGUUCGUAGGCGGCAUGUAAAGUCAGGUGUUAAAGGCGCAGGCUCAACCUGUGUAUGGCACUUGAUACUUGCAAGCUGGAAUGCGGUAGAGGUAAAGGGAAUUCCUGGUGUAGCGGUGAAAUGCUUAGAUAUCAGGAGGAACACCAGUGGCGAAGGCGGCUUACUGGACUGUAACUGACGUUGAGGCUCGAAAGCGUGGGGAGCAAACAGGAUUAGAUACCCGAGUAGUC